AAACUCCAUGAAACUGUGGCCGAGUUGAUGACAAAAUCGUUUGUACAUUUCUGUAAUCAACUUGUACCUAGAAGGUUUGUAAACUGCGGGAACAGUUGGUGGACCGAACCAGCCUUCUGCAACGAUGCUUGUGCCCUAUGGACGAUCGCCCUGCGAAUUAGUACGUUUGAUAUUCUCGUCGCUGUUUUGUUCUCUUGCUAUCUGAAGUGAGGUGAUUCUUUGUACAUUUCAUACAUCUGAAGAUUCUGCGACAGUAAUUGUGAGUAUGCCCAAAGCGUUCCCAAAACUUUAAUUUUUUUCUGGGUAGCUGUAUCGUCGCAUUUUUGUCUUAUAAAUUUUGUAAGAUGAGUUUAUUGUAAAGAUUUUUUUAUCGUUUAGAAAUGGGUCUAAAUCAACAAAAAAGAGCAGUAAAUAAAUAAUCCCGUGCCUUAUAUUAUAAGCAAAUGCAAAUGUUUUAUGUUCGCGUUCUUCUAGUUCGUCAGUUAUCACUUUCUGAUCUGCUACUGGGUGUAAAUUUUUUAUCACUAU
rnacentral:misc_RNA from 1 species